rnacentral:tRNA from 1 species
GCGCCCGUUCGCGGGCGAGCUGCAUGACGCGCUCCGGCCCCGUCGCUCUGGUCGCGGCGAGGAGUGCCGUCAUCGCGGGGCGGCGGGCGUCC